AUUGAACGCUGGCGGCAGGCUUAACACAUGCAAGUCGAACGAGUGGCGGACGGGUGAGUAAUUCAUGGGCAUCUAGCUUAUGGAGGGGGCUAACUACGGGAAACUGUAGCUAAUACCGCGUACCAUAGUAUGAGCCCAGGUGGGUUUAGGUAGUUGGUGAGGUAAAGGCUCACCAAGGCGACGAUCUCUAGCUGGUCUGAGAGGCUGACCGGCCACACUGGGACUGAGACACGGCCCAGACUCCUACGGGAGGAAGCAGUGGGGAAUAUUGCGCAAUGGGGGCAACCCUGACGCAGCCAUGCCGCGUGAGUGAAGAAGGCCUUCGGGUUGUAAAGCACUUUCAGCGGGGAGGCGUUACCCGCAGAAGAAGCACCGGCUAACUCCGUGCCAGCAGCCGCGGUAAUAC
rnacentral:rRNA from 1 species